GUAGUUUGAUCUUGGCUCAGAUUGAACGCUGGCGGCAGGCUUAACACAUGCAAGUCGAGCGGGGGAGAUUGCUUCGGUAAUUGACCUAGCGGCGGACGGGUGAGUAAUACUUAGGAAUCUGCCUAUUAAUGGGGGACAACAUCUCGAAAGGGAUGCUAAUACCGCAUACGCCCUACGGGGAAAGCAGGGGAUCACUUGUGACCUUGCGUUAAUAGAUAAGCCUAAGUCGGAUUAGCUAGUUGGUGGGUAAAGGCCUACAAGGCGACGAUCUGUAGCGGGUCUGAGAGGAUGAUCCGCCACACUGGGACUGAGACACGGCCCAGACUCCUACGGAGGCAGCAGUGGGGAAUAUUGGACAAUGGGGGAACCCUGAUCCAGCCAUGCCGCGUGUGUGAAGAAGGCCUUAUGGUUGUAAAGCACUUUAAGCGAGGAGGAGGCUCCUGUAGUUAAUACCUACAGAGAGUGGACGUUACUCGCAGAAUAAGCACCGGCUAACUCUGUGCCAGCAGCCG
rnacentral:rRNA from 1 species